AGCACUGCGCGUGCUAAUACAUGCAAGUCGAGCGAACAGAUGAGAAGCUUGCUUCUCUGAUGUUAGCGGCGGACGGGUGAGUAACACGUGGGUAACCUACCUAUAAGACUGGGAUAACUCCGGGAAACCGGGGCUAAUACCGGAUAAUAUUUUGAACCGCAUGGUUCAAUAUUGAAAGGCGGUUUCGGCUGUCACUUAUAGAUGGACCCGCGCCGUAUUAGCUAGUUGGUAAGGUAAUGGCUUACCAAGGCGACGAUGCGUAGCCGACCUGAGAGGGUGAUCGGCCACACUGGAACUGAGACACGGUCCAGACUCCUACGGGAGGCAGCAGUAGGGAAUCUUCCGCAAUGGGCGAAAGCCUGACGGAGCAACGCCGCGUGAGUGAUGAAGGUCUUCGGAUCGUAAAACUCUGUUGUUAGGGAAGAACAAAUUUGUUAGUAACUGAACAAGUCUUGACGGGACCUAACCAGAAAGCCACGGCUAACUACGUGCCAGCAGCCGCGGUAAUACGUAGGUGGCAAGCGUUAUCCGGAAUUAUUGGGCGUAAAGCGCGCGUAGGCGGUUUCUUAAGUCUGAUGUGAAAGCCCACGGCUCAACCGUGGAGGGUCAUUGGAAACUGGGAAACUUGAGUGCAGAAGAGGAGAGUGGAAUUCCAUGUGUAGCGGUGAAAUGCGCAGAGAUAUGGAGGAACACCAGUGGCGAAGGCGGCUCUCUGGUCUGUAACUGACGCUGAUGUGCGAAAGCGUGGGGAUCAAACAGGAUUAGAUACCCUGGUAGUCCACGCCGUAAACGAUGAGUGC
rnacentral:rRNA from 2 species